UACGUAGGGGGCAAGCGUUGUCCGGAAUCAUUGGGCGUAAAGCGCGUGUAGGCGGCUCGAUAAGUCUGCUGUGAAAGUCCAGGGCUCAACCCUGGGAUGCCGGUGGAUACUGUCGAGCUCGAGUCCGGAAGAGGCGAGUGGAAUUCCUGGUGUAGCGGUGAAAUGCGCAGAUAUCAGGAGGAACACCAAUGGCGAAGGCAGCUCGCUGGGACGUGACUGACGCUGAGACGCGAAAGCGUGGGGAGCGAACAGG
rnacentral:rRNA from 1 species